rnacentral:rRNA from 1 species
AUUGAACGCUGGCGGCAGGCCUAACACAUGCAAGUCGAGCGAGCGGCGGACGGGUGAGUAAUGUCUGGAAACUGGCUGAUGGAGGGGGCAAACGACUGGAAACGGUAGGUAAUAACGAAUACCAUCAGAUGUGCCCAGAGGGGAUUAGCUAGUAGGUGGGGUAACGGACCACCUAGGCUACGAUCCCUAGCUGGUCUGAGAUGAUGACCAGCCACACUUGAACUGAGAUACGGCCCGGCUGUCUACGGGAGGCAGCAUUGGGUAAUCUCGUGCAGUGGGCGCAAGCCUUAGGUGCCCAUGCCGCGUGUGUGAAGAAGGCCUUCGGGUUGUAAAGCACUUUCAUCGGGGAUGCGUUACCUACCGAUGAAGCACCGGCUAACUCCGUGCCAGCCGCCGCGGUAAUUC